rnacentral:rRNA from 1 species
UGGGGAAUCUUGCGCAAUGGGCGAAAGCCUGACGCAGCAACGCCGCGUGGGGGAAGAAGGCUUUCGGGUUGUAAACCUCUUUCAGGGGGGACGAAGCCACCGGGGUUAAUAGCCCACGGGGUGACGGUACCCCCAGAAGAAGCCCCGGCUAACUACGUGCCAGCAGCCGCGGUAAUACGUAGGGGGCAAGCGUUGUCCGGAAUCAUUGGGCGUAAAGCGCGUGUAGGUGGCUUGGUAAGUCCGGUGUGAAACCUUGGGGCUCAACCCCAAGCCUGCAUCGGAUACUGCCUCGCUCGAGUUCGGGAGGGGAGAGCGGAAUUCCUAGUGUAGCGGUGAAAUGCGCAGAUAUUAGGAAGAACACCGGUGGCGAAGGCGGCUCUCUGGAACGAUACUGACACUGAGACGCGAAAGCGUGGGUAGCGAACAGGAUUAGAUACCCCAGUAGUCCCUGAGCGGGCUGGCAAGGCGCAU